rnacentral:rRNA from 1 species
CCUACGGGAGGCAGCAGUGGGGAAUAUUGGACAAUGGGCGCAAGCCUGAUCCAGCAAUGCCGCGUGUGUGAAGAAGGCCUGCGGGUUGUAAAGCACUUUUGUUCGGGAAGAAAACGUGCCGGUUAAUACCCGGUAUGGAUGACGGUACCGAAAGAAUAAGCACCGGCUAACUUCGUGCCAGCAGCCGCGGUAAUACGAAGGGUGCAAGCGUUAAUCGGAAUUACUGGGCGUAAAGGGUGCGUAGGCGGCUUUUUAAGUCGGAUGUGAAAUCCCCGGGCUCAACCUGGGAAUGGCAUCCGAUACUGGGGAGCUAGAGUUUGGGAGAGGGUGGUGGAAUUUCCCGGUGUAGCGGUGAAAUGCGUAGAGAUCGGGAGGAACAUCAGUGGCGAAGGCGGGCCACCUGGCCUAAAACUGACGCUGAGGGCACGAAAGCGUGGGGGAGCAAACAGGAUUAGAUACCCUGGUAGUCCACGCCCUAAACGAUGUCAACUGGUUGUUGGGGUCUUCACUGACUCAGUAACGAAGCUAACGCGUGAAGUUGACCGCCUGGGGAGUACGGCCGCAAGGUUGAAACUCAAAGGAAUUGACGGGGGCCCGCACAAGCGGUGGAUGAUGUGGAUUAAUUCGAUGCAACGCGAAGAACCUUACCUACCCUUGACAUGCCAGGAAUCCCUGAGAGAUCAGGGAGUGCCCGAAAGGGAAUCUGGACACAGGUGCUGCAUGGCUGUCGUCAGCUCGUGUCGUGAGAUGUUGGGUUAAGUCCCGCAACGAGCGCAACCCUUGUCAUUAGUUGCUACGAAAGGGCACUCUAAUGAGACUGCCGGUGACAAACCGGAGGAAGGUGGGGAUGACGUCAAGUCCUCAUGGCCCUUAUAGGUGGGGCUACACACGCCAUACAAUGGCUGGUACAAAGGGUUGCCAACCCGCGAGGGGGAGCUAAUCCCAUAAAGCCAGUCGUAGUCCGGAUCGCAGUCUGCAACUCGACUGCGUGAAGUCGGAAUCGCUAGUAAUCGUGGAACAGCACGCCACGGUGAAUACGUUCCCGGGCCUUGUACACACCGCCCGU